AGUGAACGCUGGCGGUAGGCCUAACACAUGCAAGUCGAACGGCAGCACAGGAGAGCUUGCUCUCUGGGUGGCGAGUGGCGAACGGGUGAGGAAUACAUCGGAAUCUACUCUGUCGUGGGGGAUAACGUAGGGAAACUUACGCUAAUACCGCAUACGACCUACGGGUGAAAGCAGGGGAUCUUCGGACCUUGCGCGAUUGAAUGAGCCGAUGUCGGAUUAGCUAGUUGGCGGGGUAAAGGCCCACCAAGGCGACGGUCCGUAGCUGGUCUGAGGGGAGGGACAGCCACACUGGAACUGAGACACGGUCCAGACUCCUACGGGAGGCAGCAGUGGGGAAUAUUGGACAAUGGGCGCAAGCCUGAUCCAGCCAUACCGCGUGGGUGAAGAAGGCCUUCGGGUUGUAAAGCCCUUUUGUUGGGAAAGAAAUCCAGCUGGCUAAUACCCGGUUGGGAUGACGGUACCCAAAGAAUAAGCACCGGCUAACUUCGUGCCAGCCGCCGCGGUAA
rnacentral:rRNA from 1 species